rnacentral:rRNA from 1 species
AUUGAACGCUGGCGGCAGGCCUAACACAUGCAAGUCGAACGAGUGGCGGACGGGUGAGUAAUAUCUGGGAAACUGCCUGAUGGAGGGGGAUAACUACUGGAAACGGUGGCUAAUACCGCAUACUAUCGGAUGUGCCCAGAUGGGAUUAGCUAGUAGGUGGGGUAAAGGCUCACCUAGGCGACGAUCCGUAGCUGGUCUGAGAGGAUGACCAGCCACACUGGAACUGAGACACGGUCCAGACUCCUACGGAAGGCAGCAGUGGGGAAUAUGCGACAAUGGGCGAAAGCCUGAUGCAGCCAUGCCGCGUGUAUGAAGAAGGCCUUCGGGUUGUAAAGUACUUUCAGCGGGGAAGCGUUACCAGCAGAAGAAGCACCGGCUAACUCCGUGCCAGCAGCCGCGGUAAUUC